GGGUUGUUAGCUCAGUUGGUAGAGCAACUGACUCUUAAUCAGUGGGUCUAGGGUUCGAAUCCCUAACAGCCCACCA
rnacentral:tRNA from 1 species